AUUGAACGCUGGCGGCAGGCCUAACACAUGCAAGUCGAACGAGUGGCGGACGGGUGAGUAAUGUCUGGGAAACUGCCUGAUGGAGGGGGAUAACUCCUGGAAACGGUAGCUAAUACCGCAUACCAUCAGAUGUGCCCAGAUGGGAUUAACUGGUUGGUGGGGUAAAGGCUCACCAAGGCGACGAUCCCUAGCUGGUCUGAGAGGAUGACCAGCCACACUGUAACUGAGCAAAGGGCCAUACUCGUACGGGAGGCAGCAGUGGGGAAUCUUGCACAAUGGGCGAAAGCCUGAUGCAGACAUGCCGCGUGGAUGAAGAAGGCCGUCGGGGUGGAAAGUACUUUCAGCGGGGAGGCGUUAACCGCAGAAGAAGCACCGGCUAACUCCGUGCCAGCAGCCGCGGUAAUUC
rnacentral:rRNA from 1 species